rnacentral:rRNA from 1 species
GCCCAGACUCCUACGGGAGGCAGCAGUGAGGAAUAUUGGUCAAUGGGCGAGAGCCUGAACCAGCCAAGUCGCGUGAGGGAGUACUGCCCUAUGGGUUGUAAACCUCUUUUGUCGGGGAGCAAAAGCCGGACGUGUCCGUCUGUGAGAGUACCCGAAGAAAAAGCAUCGGCUAACUCCGUGCCAGCAGCCGCGGUAAUACGGAGGAUGCGAGCGUUAUCCGGAUUUAUUGGGUUUAAAGGGUGCGCAGGCGGAUUUUUAAGUCAGGGGUCAAUUCGUGGGGCUCAACCCCAUCCAGCCGUUGAAACUGGCGUUCUUGAGUGAGCGAGAAGUAUGCGGAAUGCGUGGUGUAGCGGUGAAAUGCAUAGAUAUCGCGCAGAACUCCGAUUGCGAAGGCAGCAUACCGGCGCUCAACUGACGCUCAUGCACGAAAGCGUGGGUAUCGAACAGGAUUAGAUACCCUAGUA